rnacentral:pre_miRNA from 1 species
CAGAAUUUUUUCUGAUCCGAAGCUGCGGACUGCCUAGCGAGUAACCGGGGCUCCGGUUUGAAAAGCAGGAGUAGAAACGGGGUGGUUUUUAGUCAGAAAGAGUCUG